UGAAUGUGCCCACUGAGAGCUGCAGCAGCGAGUCAGCUGACAUUUCAGAGCUUCUAUGUCUUCCUUUGCAAAGUGGAAACUACCCAGUUGGCACAGUCAAGUACUCUGGCUCAGCAGAAGACUGACAAAAAAGUGGCCCUCACUCUGUGACAAUGUGUUUUAGAAAGGAAUGAAGACACUGUUUGGAAUGGAGACGCCAUUUGAAGCAGCCCUGUCCCCGAGAGGUCUACAACACCUUGCUCUUAGGAAUCCAAGUGGAAACAGGACCGUGUCCAAAUUUCUUCUUACAAUAUUGAUUUUUUUUUAAAGAACCUUAUCUCUCAAAGUCAUAUGUUUUGAAACAGUAUAGCUCUGCUGGCUUUGAACUCACUAUGUAGCUAAGGGAGGCUGAGGAUCCUGGUCCUCCAAGUGCUGGGAUUGUAGGAAUGAGCCAUCAUGCCGAGCAACACAUUUGCCCUGAGGCUUUCUGGAGACCUACCUCCUCCCUAGUUCUAAUAAAGGCAAGCGUCUUAUAGGUGGACUUAUGUUUGC
rnacentral:lncRNA from 1 species